rnacentral:rRNA from 1 species
GAUGAACGCUGGCGGCGUGCCUAAUACAUGCAAGUCGAGCGAACAGACGAGGAGCUUGCUCCUCUGACGUUGCGGCGGACGGGUGAGUAACACUUGGAUAACCUACCUAUAAGACUGGGAUAACUUCUGGAAACCGGAGCUAAUACCGGAUAAUAUAUUGAACCUCAUGGUUCAAUAGUUAAAGUCGGUUUUGCUGUCACUUAUAGAUGGAUCCGCGCCGCAUUAGCUAGUUGGUAAGGUAACGGCUUACCAAGGCGACGAUGCGUAGCCGACCUGAGAGGGUGAUCGGCCACACUGGAACUGAGAAACGGUCCAGACACCUACGGGAGGAAGCAGUAGGGAAUCUUACGCAAUGGGCGAAAGCCUGACGGAGCAAAGCCGCGUGAGUGAUGAAGGUCUUAGGAUCGUAAAACUCUGUUAUUAGGGAAGAACAAAUGUGUAAGUAACUAUGAACGUAUUGACGGUACCUAAUCAGAAAGCCACGGCUAACUACGUG